rnacentral:rRNA from 1 species
CGGACGAACGCUGGCGGGCCGUGCCUAACACAUGCAAGUCGAGCGAGGAGAUUCCUCGGGAUGAUCCUAGCGGCGGACGGGUGAGUAACACGUGGGCAACCUGCCUCAUAGAGAGGAAUAGCCUUCCGAAAGGGAGAUUAAUACCUCAUAACAUUGCAGUUUCGCAUGGAACAGCAAUUAAAGGAGUAAUCCGCUAUGAGAUGGGGCCCGCGGCGCAUUAGCUAGUUGGUGAGGUAACGGCUCACCAAGGCGACGAUGCGUAGCCGACCUGAGAGGGUGAUCGGCCACAUUGGGACUGAGACACGGCCCAGACUCCUACGGGAGGCAGCAGUGGGGAAUAUUGCACAAUGGGGGAAACCCUGAUGCAAGCAACGCCGCGUGAGUGAUGACGGCCUUCGGGUUGUAAAGCUCUGUCUUCAGGGACGAUAAUGACGGUACCUGAGGAGGAAGCCACGGCUAACUACGUGCCAGCCGCAGC